rnacentral:misc_RNA from 1 species
AAGUCGUAACAAGGUUUCCGUAGGUGAACCUGCGGAAGGAUCAUUAAUAACAUAGCAAACCAAGCGUUAGCGAGGUUCUGCGAUCAAAUUGUAUUUAAAACCCAACACUUUUGAAUCAAUAUUUUUUAUGUAUCUUAAAUAAUAAAAGAUCACUUUCAACAACGGAUCUCUUGGUUCUC